GAGUUUGAUCUUGGCUCAGAUUGAACGCUGGCGGCAUGCCUUACACAUGCAAGUCGAACGGCAGCAUGAUCUAGCUUGCUAGAUUGAUGGCGAGUGGCGAACGGGUGAGUAAUACAUCGGAACGUGCCCUGUAGUGGGGGAUAACUAGUCGAAAGAUUAGCUAAUACCGCAUACGACCUGAGGGUGAAAGUGGGGGACCGCAAGGCCUCAUGCUAUAGGAGCGGCCGAUGUCUGAUUAGCUAGUUGGUGGGGUAAAGGCCCACCAAGGCGACGAUCAGUAGCUGGUCUGAGAGGACGAUCAGCCACACUGGGACUGAGACACGGCCCAGACUCCUACGGGAGGCAGCAGUGGGGAAUUUGGACAAUGGGCGAAAGCCUGAUCCAGCAAUGUCGCGUGUGUGAAGAAGGCC
rnacentral:rRNA from 1 species